GUUGAAGCCCUCGUACGUUUGAACCUCAAGAUAUAUUUCAGAAUUACUGUGAUUUACCAAAAAGCCUACUUAUUAAAAAUUAAGUAGAAGAUCCACGAUCUGCACCGAUACACAGAGGAAGUUAUUUCAACAACUUACAACAAAAAGUCAAAAAGGGAAUCGCUCUCUUGCUGCGAUUCAUGAGUGAAAAUUCAAGAAAGUACUAUUAAAGUCAACGAUCACUCUCGAGAUACGAGGUGACUACCAUUCUUUAUCGACUUGAAGCUAGCCAGAUGACGAGUUGAUGUAGACCCUUAAAUGAUUAUACUCGGGUUGAACUUAUAAUCAUCUUUAAGGACUCUCCACAUCGACGCUACUCGCGCAGUCAAAGAGCUCCUGAUUUCCUGCUUCAAAUAAUUGUAUGUAACUACUUUUAAUUUAUCUCUCUCUCUGUCUGAUUAAGAGAAAGCCUGUGCC